rnacentral:rRNA from 1 species
UACGUAGGGUGCAAGCGUUAAUCGGAAUUACUGGGCGUAAAGCGUGCGCAGGCGGUUGUGCAAGGCCGAUGUGAAAUCCCCGGGCUUAACCUGGGAAUGGCAUUGGUGACUGCACGGCUAGAGUGUGUCAGAGGGGGGUAGAAUUCCACGUGUAGCAGUGAAAUGCGUAGAGAUGUGGAGGAAUACCGAUGGCGAAGGCAGCCCCCUGGGAUAACACUGACGCUCAGGCACGAAAGCGUGGGGAGCAAACAGG